rnacentral:rRNA from 1 species
UACGUAGGUGGCAAGCGUUGUUCGGAAUUAUUGGGCGUAAAGGGCGCGUAGGCGGUCUUGUAAGUCAGCUGUGAAAGCCCGGGCUCAACCCCGGAGGGUCGGCUGAUACUGCAGGACUGGAGUACGGAAGAGGUAGCUGGAAUUCCCGGUGUAGCGGUGAAAUGCGUAGAUAUCAGGAGGAACACCGGUGGCGAAGGCGGGUCUCUGGGCCGAAAUUGACGCUGAGGAGCGAAAGCGUGGGAGCAAACAGG